AGUCAAUGACGUAUACCACAUCAUCAAUGGUUACUGACGUCUCUGCAAUGUUGGUAGAGAUGAUGAUUUUGGUCACACCCUCUGGUGGCCGUGUAAACACUGCUUGCUGCUCCUCGUUGGACAGAGAGGAGUGAACUAAUCCAGGCAAGAAAACCAGAACAGCACCUACACAAACACAGAGGAAAACAAGCCAAAGAAUGAAAGUUCAUGCUAUCUGCCUCCAAAACUCCCCCCAUCAAUGUGUCAGAUCCUGGCAUUUCUUAUAUCCACUACAAUAGAUGAAAUGAUUACCUGGAGGAUAACUGUGGUCUCUAUUUACAAUCCACUCUAGUAGACUCUCCACAAGGUCCAUGUUGAUUUUAUCCAGGUCCAUCGCAGCCAGGGUUUUCACCACAGGUUUUGAGCAAGCUUAUGAGUCAAGAUGCAUAUACAGUACAAACUCAUAUAGAGUCAACUAGAAGAAGAUAUUUGUUUUUUGUAUAUAAAUAAAUGUUACUGUUCUAGCUCAAUGACCUAUACCACAGCACUACAACAUGAGUGAAAUAUUCAGCUACUAUCUGUGGUCACUACUUCAAAGUGAAACAGAAAUGUUGAAACAUGCACUUGUACAUCUGCUUACUUGGAUAUCGGAGUGUGAGCUCCUGCACACUGAGUUGCUGGUCAGGGAUGGAUUCUUUGACUGCAUCUUUCUUUACAAAGGAUCUAAAUGACCAGCCAUCAUCAUCAUCGUCCUCCAUGUUCAUCACAGAAGACUGUGCUUUCCCAGCCCUUUGAUUGGGCGGGCCAUUCUGCUUUGCCGAGCGCCGGUAUGGGCUGCGAUCCUCUAUAACAUACCUAACACACACAUAUCAGUAUUACAUGUUAAAUGUUUGUGAAAAUCCAGCUCAUUGCCUACCAGUUUAAUUUAUUUAACUGUUUAGUAGACAAUUAUGAACUAACAUCUGAAUAUGUGACUAUACACUGGCUUGCAUAUGUAUUAACGUCUAAUUUUUUUUUAAAUAAACCCAAAAGUUAUGGAAUUCCCUUUAUCAGUAAACAUAAAACACAGACUCAGAGCGUACUGUUUAGAUUUUAUAUACAGUAUGUUUCAACUUUAUUUCUAGUAUUUAAACAGUGUUUAUGCCUAAUCUCAUAAUUAUACACUGAAAAAAAGUUAACUUAAAAUUUCAAGGCAACUUGCUGCACAGCUUUUUUGAGUUAAAAAUUGAGUUAAGUGAAGAUAAGUUGAGUAAACUCAAAAAAAGCUGUGUAGCAAGUUGCCUUGAAAUUUUAAGUUAAGUCAACUUUUUUUUUUUUUUUUUUUUUUUACAGUGUACCGUUCUGAUGUUUAUACGAAUUGUUUUUUAAUUUUUAUUUGUUUUACUUUAGGUAACUUUUGAGAUGAUAACUGUGUUUUAAUCAACUUUGUUGUUUGUCUUCGUCCUAUGCAAUCUACUGUAUAUAAAGUUGUAUGAAA